CGGACAACGACAUGGAAGACGAUGGAAGUGCUUUUUCAGGGAUGGAUACCACAACAGUUGCAGUACUGAAAGCUGCUAAUGUCAGCACAGACAUGCUUUCCAGUCUCUCCAAGGAGGACUUGCGAGACCUCUUUCCAGGGCCUGAGCACUUUAUCCGAAGGAUGGCCAUUUGGAGGACCAUACAUGGUGGAAAUGAGUAUGAACAAUUAGCCUACAACAACCAGCCUCACCCAGGCACCUCUGGAUGUGAUGCCACCUCUAUUCCCACUACCCCAACCCCAUCCACCCCUCCAUCCAUCCCCGCACCAGGAGACGGUGCCAGCAGAACUGUACAGCUUGUAUGUCCACAGUUUGUUGUUUACACAGACACAGAGUUGGAGCAGUCGAGAACCGCCUAUUUUGAAAAGCAACGUGCUGGACAAGAAGGCGACUAUACACUCUCCAAAGAGCUUCGCUGCCGCUUAAUAAGGAAUACAGUAACAAGCAUGCUUGCCAUUAAGACAGCUGCUGAGGAUGACUUCCAAUAUCCAUGCUGCAGAGAGCUAUCUGCGAUGGCUAAGCGUCUCAUUGAGUACUACCCGAUGCU